GUGUCAGCCGCCGCGGUAAUACGGAGGGUGCGAGCGUUGUCCGGAAUCACUGGGCGUAAAGGGCGCGUAGGCGGCAGGGAAAGUCGGCGGUGAAAGCCCGGAGCUCAACUCCGGGUCGGCCGUUGAUACUUCUUUGCUCGAGCACUGUAGAGGCAGAUGGAAUUCCGGGUGUAGCGGUGGAAUGCGUAGAGAUCCGGAAGAACACCGGUGGCGAAGGCGGUCUGCUGGGCAGUUGCUGACGCUGAUGCGCGACAGCGUGGGGAGCAAACAGGAUUAGAUACCCCCGUAGUCC
rnacentral:rRNA from 1 species